AUGACAAACUGGGACCAGAAGAUGGCGCCAUUACACCCUUCAUAUCACACCGUCCUCACACUCCUAUUCUUUAUCAAUAUCACACCAUCCUCACACUUCUAUUUUACAUCAAUAUCACACCAUCCUCACACUCCUAUUCUUUAUCAAUAUCACACCAUCCUCACACUUCUAUUUACAUCAAUAUCACACCAUCCUCACACUCCUAUUCUUUAUCAAUAUCACACCAUCCUCACACUUCUAUUUUACAUCAAUAUCACACCAUCCUCACACUCCUAUUCUUUAUCAAUAUCACACCAUCCUCACACUUCUAUUUUACAUCAAUAUCACACCAUCCUCACACUUCUAUUUUACAUCAAUAUCACAUCGUCCUCACACUUCUAUUCUUUAUCAAUAUCACACCAUCCUCACACUUCUAUUCUUUAUCAAUAUCACACCAUCCUCACACUUCUAUUCUUUAUCAAUAUCACACCAUCCUCACACUCCUAUUCUUUAUCAAUAUCACACCAUCCUCACACUUCUAUUCUUUAUCAAUAUCACACCAUCCUCACACUUCUAUUUUACAUCAAUAUCACACCAUCCUCACACUUCUAUUUUACAUCAAUAUCACACCGUCCUCACACUCCUAUUCUUUAUCAAUAUCACACCAUCCUCACACUUCUAUUUUACAUCAAUAUCACACCAUCCUCACACUCCUAUUCUUUAUCAAUAUCACACCAUCCUCACACUUCUAUUUUACAUCAAUAUCACACCGUCCUCACACUCCUAUUCUUUAUCAAUAUCACACCGUCCUCACACUUCUAUUUUACAUCAAUAUCACACCAUCCUCACACUCCUAAUCUUUAUCAAUAUCACACCGUCCUCACACUUCUAUUUUACAUCAAUAUCACACCGUCCUCACACUCCUAUUCUUUAUCAAUAUCACACCAGCCUCACACUUCUAUUUUACAUCAAUAUCACACCAUCCUCACACUUCUAUUCUUUAUCAAUAUCACACCGUCCUCACACUUCUAUUCUUUAUCAAUAUCACACCAUCCUCACACUUCUAUUUUACAUCAAUAUCACACCGUCCUCACAUUUCUAUUUUAUAUCAAUAUCACACCAUCCUCACACUCCUAA
rnacentral:lncRNA from 1 species